rnacentral:rRNA from 1 species
GAUGAACGCUAGCUACAGGCUUAACACAUGCAAGUCGAGGGGAAACGGCAUUGAGUGCUUGCACUCUUUGGACGUCGACCGGCGCACGGGUGAGUAACGCGUAUCCAACCUUCCCAUUACUGUGGGAUAACCUGCCGAAAGGCAGACUAAUACCGCAUAGUCUUCGAUGACGGCAUCAGAUUUGAAGUAAAGAUUUAUCGGUAAUGGAUGGGGAUGCGUCUGAUUAGCUUGUUGGCGGGGUAACGGCCCACCAAGGCAACGAUCAGUAGGGGUUCUGAGAGGAAGGUCCCCCACAUUGGAACUGAGACACGGUCCAAACUCCUACGGGAGGCAGCAGUGAGGAAUAUUGGUCAAUGGACGAGAGUCUGAACCAGCCAAGUAGCGUGCAGGAUGACGGCCCUAUGGGUUGUAAACUGCUUUUGUAUGGGGAUAAAGUCAAUCACGUGUGAUUGUUUGCAGGUACCAUACGAAUAAGGACCGGCUAAUUCCGUGCCAGCAGCCGCGGUAAUACGGAAGGUCCGGGCGUUAUCCGGAUUUAUUGGGUUUAAAGGGAGCGUAGGCCGGAGAUUAAGUGUGUUGUGAAAUGUAGACGCUCAACGUCUGACUUGCAGCGCAUACUGGUUUCCUUGAGUACGCACAACGUUGGCGGAAUUCGUCGUGUAGCGGUGAAAUGCUUAGAUAUGACGAAGAACUCCGAUUGCGAAGGCAGCUGACGGGAGCGCAACUGACGCUUAAGCUCGAAGGUGCGGGUAUCGAACAGG